AGCAGUCGCCGCGGUAAUACGUAGGUCCCGAGCGUUGUCCGGAUUUAUUGGGCGUAAAGCGAGCGCAGGCGGUUAGAUAAGUCUGAAGUUAAAGGCUGUGGCUUAACCAUAGUACGCUUUGGAAACUGUUUAACUUGAGUGCAGAAGGGGAGAGUGGAAUCCCAUGUGAAGCGGUGAAAUGCGUAGAUAUAUGGAGGAACACCGGUGGCGAAAGCGGCUCUCUGGUCUGUAACUGACGCUGAGGCUCGAAAGCGUGGGAGCGAACAGGAUUAGAUACCCCGGUAGUCCCUGUCUCUUAUACAC
rnacentral:rRNA from 1 species